CAUCAAGCUUCGGAUGUCCAUGGAAGCAUCUUCUCUACAUCAAUCCAGUGAAGAUGUAAAUUCUUCUUCCCUGUAAUUCUAUUUCUGUCGUAUUUCUCCUUUCAGCCUCUCCCUGGGUAGACAAGAGUCAAUCCCAAAACAAGAUUGAUCUGUAUGAUGUCCGGAGAAGACCAUGGUACAUCCAAGGAGCCGCCUCUCCAAAAGAUAUGCUGAUUCUCGUUGAUGCGAGCGGGAGCGUCAGUGGGUUGACCCUGAAGUUGAUCCGAACGUCCGUCAUUGAAAUGUUGGAAACCUUGUCGGAUGAUGACUUUGUGAAUGUGGUCUCUGUAAGUACCCCUCUCUUUCCAGAUGUUGAAGCA